rnacentral:lncRNA from 1 species
AAAUAUAUAUGGAAGUGAUUUUCUUAAACCUUAAAAGACCAAUCAAAUGUGGUGUUACUAAUUCUUAUGUAACAGAUUAACUCCAACUGCUAGAAGGUAACAUGAAAAAUGCCCAGCUUGAUUGGCAUGUCUGUUGUAUUUCUUGACAGCUUGAAAUGAUGUGUGUUGAGAAAUGAAUCUUUCCAGGAUGGUGCUUUCAUUUAGUGCAGUCUACUCUAGCUGGUUGCUCUGAAUUUUAGUCCCAGACCAAAGCUGGUAGGCAACCUUAUACUUUGCCACUAUGGCAACCCCGCAUUGCUGGUGUUACCUGCUGGGUAAGCACUAAAGAGAGAGCCGUCAGGCCGCUCUGCCCAUUCCAUCCCUAACUGUGCUUCUUCACCCUGCCUCCUGUGCUUUCUCUGAUCAACCAUCGACACCCCCUUCCUUCUGCUCUGCCGGUGACCACAGAAGUCUGGAAAGCAAGUGAUGACCAUGAGCAUAUAGUGAAACAGCCUCACAGGCAGGUUAUGUUUCGUUCUUCUGAACUCAGUCCACUAACACACACCAUGGCUUUAGGUAUGGAAGAACAUGUCUAACAAUCCCUGGACCAGGGUGUUUUGCUACUGCAGUAGCAGUAUAACUAAAUGAAUGACUAAAAUGCCCAGCUUGAUUUAACUGCCUGUCCAGUGCUUCUUGCUCAGCUGGGGCUCUCUCCUCUCACUCCAUAGGGAGAAGAAAAACCAAUAAGCUCUCACCUUUUCCACUUGGUAGUCUAAAGCUUAGCUUGAUCCCCAUAUGUAAUUUCUUCCUUCUUGUCUCAAGAAGUCUUUAAUCUAUUUCUAUCAUUCUUUAAAUCCUGACUAGUCUGAGUUAUUUCUGUCUUUACAAAGUUUCACUACUUGUUGCUUAAAGGAUAAAAAUCUCUGCUCAUCAGCAUAGCAGCAAUAAUUCCUCAUGCCUGGCCUUUUGAUUUCUUUGUCCCAUGAUGAUCUUCAGCCAGUUCCAGAUGGUCAUCUCCUCUCUGUAGAAGGAACCCACAUGUUCAAGGUCCUACUCAGAAAAGGCUCUUCAGUUGCCAAGAUGCACUGGAUCCUACACAUUAUAGUUAUUCCUGUGUCUUUGUUCAUCCAUUAAUGUGGUGCUUAUAAUAGUGGGUAUUAGUAUGGUCAUCAUCAUUGACUUCCUAGCUGUCCAAGUCGCAAGAAGAGAUUGUCUGCAUGAGUUUGUAUUUCCUGAGUUGUUCCAAACUUUUUGGAAUACAUUUUUUCUUAAACACAAAUAGUCUCAUCCUUCCACAAAGGCUCUGAGCUCUACUCAUAGUUUGUCUCUUAACCCCAAGCUCUCUGGGUUGGUCAAGCAGUCACAUGUGCCAUCCUACUAGCCAUGGAAUGAAUGACUUUGAUAUCAACUCAAAAAUCUAUGACCAGUGAAAGCCAAAGACACUUGGUUAGGAGACUCUGAUUUAACCUUUCAGGGAAACUGAAUGUAAGAAAGAAAGACUAUGACCCAGCUCCGGUAUCUAGUGAACGGAGAGACAGAAAAGCUGCCCUUGGUUCUUGUGGGUCCCCGGAAUGCACCCCAGUAGCCUUCUGCUGGACCCUUUUGUAUGUAGGUCAAAGGAUUGCCUUUGUUCUUUGCAACAGCAAGGAUUCUAACGUCUGUAGGUAUUUUCCUUUGAGGCUUGAGAUCUAUUGGGUGUAGAAGCUCAGUCCACACCCUGUUCAAAAUGGUGUAAGACUUCUAAAUUCCUUGAGUCAAGGCAGAACUGUGGCCUUACAAGAAUAAAGCCUAUCUUCGGUGCCUACCUAAUAUCCCUAACUAGGCUCUUUGACCUUUGGCCCUUUGUCCUAUAACUCCCUCACUUAGAAUGCUUUCUCUUCUCUUCUUACCUAACUACAACUUGUACCUCAGAACCUACCUCAGGUGACGCAUCAUCAGGAAGACCGCUCCUCAUACCCUAAGUCAGCCCAUGUCACACCACUGUCCUACUUGUCUUUGUUCUCUGCUACAUGGUAACUCCUCAAGGGCCAAAAAUGGUCUCAUUUUAGCUUUGCACUUCUAGAGCCAAACAGUCCUUGCCCCAUUACAGGCUUGCUAAAUGUUUAUAAGUGAAUGGAUGGGGCCAUCUAACUCAGUAGUCAUUUUCCUCUUGAUGGCGACACUGUUCAGAGUGACAUCUUGUCCAGCAUCAUGUAGCCAUUUUACCUUUAGUUUACUAAAGAGAAAGUUUUAAAGGGAAUAAUAUCUUUAGAGGAGAAAAUUAAUGCUUUAUUUUUUCAUUUAAGUGAAUACAUAUAUAGUAAAACUGAACAUAUGUAAAGUAGAAUUCUCUUUAAGUGUACAGUUUGGUAUAAAUGGAUGUACCCAUGUCACCUCUUUUAAUAAUUGAGGUAGCAGAAUGUUCCCCUCACCUAAGACAGUAGAUCCCUAUAUGCCCUUCCUAUUCAGUCUCCUGCACACUCACAGAUGGGGACUCCAAACCGUCACAGAACUGUGGCUAGCCCUAAAGACUAGCCUUUCUUCUCUAGAGGUUCAACUCUAUACUCUUGUGUCUGGCUUGCUCUACUUGGCAUAAUGUGCUGGGAUUCAUACUGUGGCAUUGGUAGUUCACUGUCGAUUGUGGCUGAAUACAUAUCUUCAUAGAGGCAUGCAUCUUCCUUCCCCUGAGGCAAAUGCCAAGUAUAACGGAUACUGUGAGUCAUAUAUCCGUACUUGUUUACCUUCCUAAGAAGUCUUCAGGUUCUUGUGUGAAGUGAUUCCACCAUUUACACUCCCACCAACAGUGGAGGAGUUGCAGUGGUUCCCAGUCCUGGUUGUCAAUGUAUUAAUUAAGUUAAUAGGUGGGCAUGUUUUAUUUUUUCUGUUAUUUCCCCAGUUAGAUAGAACAGCACCUUAUUAUGCUUUGUUGCUGUUUAUACAUAAGUUAUUAUUUUAUAGUCUACUCUUUUGUUCAUUUAAAUCAGUUACCUUCUUAUUACAUUUUAAGACUUAUUUAUUGUGGAUAUAGCAUAGAAAUCCCAUUAUGCAUUAUACCUUAUUUUUUAUUAACUAUACCCUUUUUCUUUUUAAUUUUUAUUUAAAAAUUUACCCUCACUCAUAUUUACAUAAAAUUUAUUAUUCCCCCCCCCCCCCCGCACAACACUAAUUACCUUUUUCAACAGCAAAAGCUUUUAUUUUGUUGAAAACAAAUUUGGCAUUUUUUUUUCUUUUAAAGGGUUUUUGUGUACUAUCUAUAAAAUCCUUGUGUAACUCAGUUACACAUACUUUCCCCAUGUUUUCCUCUAUAAAUUUUAUAAAUUUAGUUCAUUCAUUUAGAGCUAUGUUUCUUUUUCUUUAGUUCCUUUAAUGUAUGUGUGAGGUUAAGGGCUAAGGUUCAUGUUUUCACUCUGGUGCCCACCUUUGCUAAGCAGGCCACCUUUCCAUGCUGCAUCACGCCUCUAUAAAGUCAGGAGGAGGGACUCGCUGGCAUCUGACUUGACUUCAUUUCCUGUGGAUUUGUGUCUGUUCUCACUGCAAUAGUAUAGCAUCUUGAUUUUUGUGGAUUUAGAGCGAGUCUUGGGAUUGACAGUACAACUGUUCACUUAGGUCAAAAUUAUUUAAGCUAUGUCAGUAUUAUUGCUUAUAACUUUUAGAAUCAGCAUUUUGGUUUUUUCACAAAAUAGUUUGUUAGGAUUUUUUUUUAAUAGACAGUAUUAGCCCUAUAAUAGGCUUAGGGACAAUUGAUAUCAUAGUAUUGAGCUAUCCAAUCCAUGAACACAGUAUAUCUUUUUAUUUACUUAGCUCUUUUAAAUUUUCACUCAAUAAUAUAUUUUAGUUUUGAGUGGGCAGUUCUUGCAUUCAUUUUGUUUAAAAUAUCCCUAGAUAUUUCACAUUUCUGUUAUUGUAAAUUAUAUUUUUAACUUUAAAUUUCCAGUGUCUUGUUAAUAUAGACAAAUACAACUAAACCUUUUAUAUUGACCCUGUAUCCUAAAAUCUUGAAAAACUUAAUACUUCUGUUAUCUUUUUUGGUAGCUUCCCUAGGAUUUUCUACAUAUAUAAUAUACCAACUGCAAAUAAAGAUUAUAUUGCUUCUU